AUGGAACUAGAACUCUGGCAUCUACAGUCUUGGCUCAAUGUAAUUGUAAAAAAAGAUGUGACCUUAGGAGAAGGGAAGAGUUGCAAGGGAAAGGGACUUGAGGUAGGGAAUACAACAGAUUCAAAACACGAUCAGUUUAGUUGCAGCAAAGCAUUUGUGUUGAAAACUGGUAGAACAUAGGAUUGAAGGAACAAGGGUUGAUGUCAUGGAGAACUUGGAAUGCCAGGCUGAGUUUAGACAAUGGGAAUCCCUAGAGGGUUUGGGUAGUGACAUGAUGAAACUGCUUUAUAAUAAGAUUAAUUCUGGGGUAGAACUUAGUGUAGAAAAUGUAGAAGGUAAGGCAGUGAUUUUAGUAGUCCAGAUGUGCAGUAAAGGCAAGAGUUUUAUCAAAUGAGCUUGAUGUGAACAUGCCAGUGUCAUGAGGAUACCACUGUACAGUCUCCACACUGUAUCUGUGAACAUCAGGAUGAUCUCUACAAAACAGCAAUCAAAAUUUACAUUAACUGACUUAUAAAACAAAAGUUAACAGAAGACUUCUGCAACCCUAUGCAGAUACAACCGUGAUGCUUUUGGAUUCCUUAAGAUGAAGGUUUGGGACCUUAAAACAUUUGUGGUGCUAUCUGAAGGAAUGAGAACACAAAGAAGGAAAGUCUUAAGUGCCAGCUCUGGCAUUAAAACAGCUGCAAAAAUACAAGAACUAUAGUGCCUA